UCCCUCUGGUGAAAUAGAGGAGGGCAGUUCAGUGACUCUGAGCUGCAGCAGUGAUGCCAACCCAGCAGCUGAGUACACCUGGUUCAAGCAACAUGAAGACUCAGUGAAAGCAUCAGGACAGAACUACAUCAUCACUAAUAUCACAUCUGAGCUUGGAGGAAACUAUUACUGCCAAGCGCAUAAUGCAAUCGGACAUCAUAACUCCACAUUUCUGUUAAUUAAAGUUUGUAUUCAGGGUUUGAAAUCGACAUCACCAUCAUGGACAACAACAGUAGCUGUGAGAGGCAUUGUUGUCUUACUGGCCACCGUACUACUCCUUGUCUUCCUCUGGAUGAGGUGAUAUAUUCUCUCUUUCUUGUUUCACAUUCCUUCACUUCUCCUGUUGCUUCUUCAUCUCUCUGUUCUCUUCUCCAGAAGAACGAGGGCCUCCCGGUAAAGCAUGUGGACAGGGAGGAAGGCCAGAUACUGUGGAGGAGCUACUUCCUGCUCCUGUGUAUGAAAAUGUCUCAGCUCUGACCAAUCGCUUGGCUCCU
ensembl:lncRNA